AGCAGCCGCGGUAAUUCCAGCUCCAAUAGCGUAUAUUAAAGUUGUUGCAGUUAAAAGCUCGUAGUUGAAUUUCGGGAUCAAUACGUCGGUCGUGCUUCGGUACGUACUGGCGUAAUUGAUUUCUCCCUUCUGACGAACCAUGAUGUCAUUAACUUGGUGUCAUGGGAAAUCAGGACUGUUACUUUGAAAAAUUAGAGUGUUUAAAGCAGGCUCACGCUUGAAUACAUUAGCAUGGAAUAAUGAAAUAGGACGUUCGAUCCUAUUUUGUUGGUUUUAGGAUCAACGUAAUGAUUAAUAGGGAUAGUUGGGGGCAUUAGUAUUCAAUUGUCAGAGGUGAAAUUCUUGGAUUUAUUGAAGACUAACUACUGCGAAAGCAUUUGCCAAGGAUGUUUUCAUUAAUCAAGAACGAAAGUUAGGGAUCGAAGACGAUCAGAUACCGUCGUAGUCUUAACCAUAAACUAUGCCGACUAGGGAUCGGAUGAUGUUAAUUUUUAAUGUACUCAUUCGGCGCCUUAAC
rnacentral:misc_RNA from 1 species